GGUGUGGUUCCAUUGCUAAGCAGGCAACAGUUUCUUACGAAGAUGCACUACCUAGUUCUUCAUGCCAUCCAUCCAUUUAUUGCUGUAGGCCUUCAGCCAUACUUGAGUCAUUGCCUGGAAUCAAAUUGAGUGACAAAUGUUUCCUUUGCUUGACCUUAAUAAUUUCCAGUCUUUUAGAAAUUUGCCUUUGGUGCUGCCAUAUGGCUGUGUAGUUACUUUCUUGAGGCCAUCAGGAUGACCCUUAUGUGUGCUCUAGGAGCAUUUAUUCUACCUGCUUAAGCAGUUAUCAUGAUCCAGGUUUUUUCCCAGGUGCAAAACAUGCACUGCUCAGCCCUCUUGGUGAACUCUUUUGUUCACUUUCUCAGAGGUCCUUAAAAUCUGAAGGAGAAAUAAAAGAUCCUCACUCCUUAACUUAGCUCUAAAUAAGUUAAGAGACAGUUUGAGUCAUGUUACUGAUUUGAAUGGAGCAACACUAAUGAAAUGGAUUGAAAACUAGAAAAUGGC
rnacentral:misc_RNA from 1 species